GAUGAGCGCUGGCGGCGUGCCUAAUACAUGCAAGUCGAGCGAACAGACGAGGAUCUUGCUCCUUUUACGUUAGCGGCGGACGGGUGAGUAACACGAGGGUAACCGAUCUAUAAGACUGGGAUAACUUCGGGAAACCGGAGCUAACACCCGACAAGAUUUCGAACCGCAUGGUUCGUUAGUGAAAGAUGGCUUUGCUAUCACUUAUUGAUGUAACUGGGCCGUAUUAGCUAGUUGGUAAGGUAACGGCUUACCAAGGCAACGAUACGUAGCCGACCUGAGAGGGUGAUCGGCCACACUGGAACUGAGACACGGUCCAGACUCCUACGGGAGGCAGCAGUAGGGAAUCUUCCGCAAUGGGCGAAAGCCUGACGGAGCAACGCCGCGUGAGUGAUGAAGGUCUUCGGAUCGUAAAACUCUGUUAUUAGGGAAGAACAAAAGUGUAAGUAACUGUGCACGUCUUGACGGUACCUAAUCAGAAAGCCACGGCUAACUACGUG
rnacentral:rRNA from 1 species